AUAUGAAUUGUCGUAUCCCGUAUCCGUACCCAUACAGAGUAUCAUGACAAACCACGAAUUAAGUAACACUGGACUCACCAUGCUUGAUGCUCUUCCAUAGGGAUAAACAUUUAACUAUAUUAUAUUUCCAAUAGCUGAAGCUUUAAAUAUUCAGGAAAUCUCCUAGCUAAAAAUGAAUAUGAAGUAGUGAAUUUAAGGAAGAUUUCAAAUAUAGCAUGCUUUACAAGAAAUAAUGAAAUCCCAACAUGAUAAAUUACCU
rnacentral:misc_RNA from 1 species